GCGGAUAUGGCGUAAUUGGUAGCCGCGCUAGACUUAGGAUCUAGUGCCGAAAGGCGUGGGGGUUCGAGUCCCUCUAUCCGCACCA
rnacentral:tRNA from 1 species